rnacentral:rRNA from 1 species
UGCAGUCGAACGGUGCUUUCGGGCACAGUGGCGGACGGGUGAGUAACGCGUGGGAAUCUGGCUCUAGGUCUGGGACAACCACUGGAAACGGUGGCUAAUACCGGAUGUGCCGAGAGGUGAAAGGUUAACUGCCUAGAGAUGAGCUCGCGUCUGAUUAGCUAGUUGGAAGUGUAACGGACUCCCAAGGCGACGAUCAGUAGCUGGUCUGAGAGGACGAUCAGCCACACUGGGACUGAGACACGGCCCAGACUCCUACGGGAGGCAGCAGUGGGGAAUUUUCCGCAAUGGGCGAAAGCCUGACGGAGCAAUACCGCGUGAGGGAGGAAGGCUCUUGGGUCGUAAACCUCUUUUCUCAGGGAAGAACACAAUGACGGUACCUGAGGAAUAAGCAUCGGCUAACUCCGUGCCAGCAGCCGCGGUAAUACGGAGGAUGCAAGCGUUAUCCGGAAUGAUUGGGCGUAAAGCGUCCGCAGGUGGCAAUGUAAGUCUGCUGUUAAAGAGUGAGGCUCAACCUCAUAAGAGCAGUGGAAACUACAUAGCUAGAGUACGUUCGGGGCAGAGGGAAUUCCUGGUGUAGCGGUGAAAUGCGUAGAGAUCAGGAAGAACACCGGUGGCGAAGGCGCUCUGCUAGGCCGUAACUGACACUGAGGGACGAAAGCUAGGGGAGCGAAUGGGAUUAGAUACCCCAGUAGUCCUAGCCGUAAACGAUGGAUACUAGGCGUGGCUUGUAUCGACCCGAGCCGUGCCGUAGCUAACGCGUUAAGUAUCCCGCCUGGGGAGUACGCCGGCAACGGUGAAACUCAAAGGAAUUGACGGGGGCCCGCACAAGCGGUGGAGUAUGUGGUUUAAUUCGAUGCAACGCGAAGAACCUUACCAAGGCUUGACAUGUCGCGAAUCUCGGUGAAAGCUGAGAGUGCCUUCGGAGCGCGA